UGGGGAAUAUUGCACAAUGGGCGCAAGCCUGAUGCAGCCAUGCCGCGUGUAUGAAGAAGGCCUUCGGGUUGUAAAGUACUUUCAGUCGGGAGGAAGGUGGUAAGGUUAAUAACCUUAACAAUUGACGUUACCGACAGAAGAAGCACCGGCUAACUCCGUGCCAGCAGCCGCGGUAAUACGGAGGGUGCAAGCGUUAAUCGGAAUUACUGGGCGUAAAGCGCACGCAGGCGGUUGAUUGAGUCAGAUGUGAAAUCCCCGGGCUCAACCUGGGAACUGCAUCUGAUACUGGCAGGCUUGAGUCUCGUAGAGGGGGGUAGAAUUCCAGGUGUAGCGGUGAAAUACGUAGAGAUCUGGAGGAAUACCGGUGGCGAAGGCGGCCCCCUGGACGAAGACUGACGCUCAGGUGCGAAAGCGUGGGGAGCAAACAGG
rnacentral:rRNA from 1 species